rnacentral:rRNA from 1 species
GUGCCAGCCGCCGCGGUAAUACCGGCAGCCCGAGUGAUGGCCGAUAUUACUGGGCCUAAAGCGUCCGUAGCUGGCCAGACAAGUCCGUUGGGAAAUCCACGCGCUCAACGCGUGGGCGUCCAGCGGAAACUGCACAGCUUGGGACCGGAAGGCUCGAAGGGUACGUUCGGGGUAGGAGUGAAAUCCCAUAAUCCCGCACGGACCACCGAUGGCGAGAGCACUUCGAGAAAACGGAUCCGACAGUGAGGGACGAAAGCCAGGGUCUCCAACCGGAUUAGAAACCCGAGUAGUCC